rnacentral:rRNA from 1 species
UACGUAGGGUGCAAGCGUUAAUCGGAAUUACUGGGCGUAAAGCGUGCGCAGGCGGUGAUGUAAGACCGAUGUGAAAUCCCCGGGCUCAACCUGGGAACUGCAUUUGUGACUGCAUGGCUGGAGUGCGGCAGAGGGGGAUGGAAUUCCGCGUGUAGCAGUGAAAUGCGUAGAUAUGCGGAGGAACACCGAUGGCGAAGGCAAUCCCUGGGCCUGCACUGACGCUCAUGCACGAAAGCGUGGGGAGCAAACAGGAUUAG